rnacentral:piRNA from 2 species
UGGGAGCAGUGAAAAGGCCACAUCCUUU